UCCAAAGGGAAAGCACUGCGCUGCGGGGGAGAGGAGAGGAGAGGGCGGCCCACGGCUCUCCGCGGCGCAGGCACGAUUACGCCCGGCGGCCUGGCGGCUGUUGAUGUUUCUACACUAGGUGUUCCGCUUGCCUGCGGUGCCUUCUCCAAGAGGGGCAGCAGAAAACUCCAAGCCCAUGUGAAAACUUCAACAAUGGAUCCGAGAGAGGAACUGACCAGACUACUCCAACCACAGAUAGCAGUAGCCCCAAGCAACACACUGACGAGACAGAGGAGAAACAGUCCAGAGAUGGGGGAUGGUAAAGACUCCUUGCCAUGUUACCAGUCAUCAGCUGUGCGUUGAUGCAGGUUGCCCUGGACAAAGCCAAAGAAAGUCAGACCUGCAUGCUAUUGCCAACUGUUUGUCCAUCAUCCAGAACUCGAAUAUCAUUGCAGUCAUGUCACAGGGGACAGUGAUUGGGAAGGGGACUCAAAGAACUGAUGGCCCAGAAAGGAGCCUACUACAAACUAAUUCCUUAAAUGCCUGACAGCAAUUUAAAAGGACAUGAAAGAACUCAAUCCUUUUCAUUGAAUAUUUCUAGUCUGCAGAUAUGGAAUGAAAAGUCUUAAAAGGACUCAAGCCCUGUAAAUGGCAUACACCUUUCUAAAUUUAUUAAGAAAACAAAAAGGGGGAAAUGCUGGAGGCAAAAAAGAACAGUAGUUAACAUAUAAAUGGAGAAGUCCGCUGGAAGGCUAUUGGACUUUGAUAUUCAACUGAAAAAUCAGCAUUAUAUUAUCCUGUUGUUGGCUGAAUGGCUGAAGGCAAUCCCCUAACCCAGUGGUUGGCAAACUGCGGCUCAGCAAACCACGGCUCUCCAGCCACAUGCAGCUCUUUGGCCCCUUGAGUGUGGC